UAGCAAUACUUGAUGACGAGUGGCGCACGGGUGCGUAACGCGUAUGCAAUCUACCUUCAACUGAGGAACAGCUCGGAGAAAUCCGGAUUAAUACCUCAUAAUAUUCGAGAGUGGCAUCACUUUCCAAUUAAAGCUCAGGCGGUUGAAGAUGAGCAUGCGUAACAUUAGUUUGUUGGUGAGGUAACGGCUCACCAAGACUACGAUGUUUAGGGGAUCUGAGAGGAUUAACCCCCACACUGGUACUGAGACACGGACCAGACUCCUACGGGAGGCAGCAGUAAGGAAUAUUGGACAAUGGGCGCAAGCCUGAUCCAGCCAUGCCGCGUGCAGGAUGACGGCCCUAUGGGUUGUAAACUGCUUUUAUACGGGAAUAAACCCCUCUACGUGUAGAGGGCUGAAGGUACCGUAAGAAUAAGGAUCGGCUAACUCCGUGCCAGCAGCCGCGGUAAUACGGAGGAUCCGAGCGUUAUCCGGAUUUAUUGGGUUUAAAGGGUGCGUAGGCGGGUUUGUAAGUCAGUGGUGAAAUCCUGCAGCUUAACUGUAGAACUGCCAUUGAUACUGCAAGCCUUGAGUACAUAUGAUGUGGGCGGAAUGUGUAGUGUAGCGGUGAAAUGCUUAGAUAUUACACAGAACACCGAUUGCGAAGGCAGCUCACAAAACUGUAACUGACGCUGAGGCACGAAAGCGUGGGGAGUGAACA
rnacentral:rRNA from 1 species